rnacentral:rRNA from 1 species
AAACGGCCGCGUUAGCGUGAGCGUGCUAAGGUAGCGUAAUAAAUAGCCUCUUAAUUGGAGGCCAGUGAAUGGCAAGACUAGGAAUAUCUGUACCAUAUAUGUAAAAAAAACUUUUCAUCUGAGUGAAAAGACUCAGAUAACGAAGGAAGACGAAAAGACCCCGCGGAACUUUACCUUUUCCAGUCUCACAUGCUAAUGAACACAAAAACGAAAGGUUUGAUUGGGGCAAUCUCGGAACAAACCAAGCUUCCGAUUUACCGCAAAAGAAUAUACGAAAUUCUAUAAAGACCAAAAAGAAGUUACCCCGGGGAUAACAGCGUAAUCUAACUUGAGAGUACACAUCGAAAGUUAGGUUUGCGACCUCGAUGUUGGCUUAAG